UACAGAGGUCUCAAGCGUUGUUCGGAUUCACUGGGCGUAAAGGGUGCGCAGGCGGCCGAGUGUGUUAGGCGUGAAAGCCUGAGGCUCAACCUCAGAAUUGCACCUAAAACUACACGGCUAGAGCAUUGGAGAGGGUAGCGGAAUUCACGGUGUAGCAGUGAAAUGCGUAGAUAUCGUGAGGAACACCAGAGGCGAAGGCGGCUACCUGGACAAUUGCUGACGCUCAGGCACGAAAGCGUGGGGAGCAAAAGGG
rnacentral:rRNA from 1 species